UGGUCUGCAAUGCUGACUGUGUGAUCAGCAAUGUUGUGGCAAAAUGGCCUGGCUCAGUCCAUGACUCCAGAAUCUUUCGGGCCUCUGAAAUCUAUCAGUGCCUAUCACAAGGUGAAUUCUCUGGUGUGUUGCUGGGAGACAGGGGUAUGGCUGCCAGCCUUUUCUCCUGACACCUUUCACAGACCCCCCAGGAAGCACAGCAGGCCUACAACCAUGCCCAUGCCAGGACCAGGGCCAGAGUUGAAAUGACCUUUGGCCUCCUGAAGGCACGCUUUCACUGCCUUCACAAAUUAAGGGUCAGCCCUGUUAGGGCAUGUGAUAUUACUGUGGCUUGUGCUGUCCUCCACAAUGUGGCCUGCCUGAGGAAGGAGAGGGCCCCCAGAGUGCCACCAGCCAUGGACUGGGACAAUCCGGCAAUCUUCCCUGAUGACGACAGUGGUCGAAUGCUGAGGGACCAAUAUGUGUUGAAUUAUUUUAGUUAGUAUGUGUGCUUUCAAUUUUGGUUAAAUAUGUCCUGCGGUGGCAGAGGAAUUUGGUUUUUUGGGUUCGUUUUUUUUUGACGAAUUUGGCCUCUUAUGAUGUUUGUGCGGUAUACUGUGUGUAAUACAAGGCUGCAGGGAGGCUACUGCAUCCAUUCAUUUGUCUGUUCAGUUGAUGUGUAUGGAUUUGUCCUGCAUUUAUUUUAGUGUGCAGACAUGCAGGGUGUGUUAUAUACAGACCUUUGAAUGUGUAUGUAUCAUUUUGUAUAAUAUGCUUGGAUUCUGUGCUUUCCAUCUUGUAGAGUCACUGUGACUUCAGUUUCGAAAGGAGCUGAUGGUUUACCUGCUUUGUUUUGUCCUUAUUCAAUAAAGGAACAUAAUGUUA